CUGGGAUCUGUUUUACUGAAACAAAACAAAAUGACAACACGGGAGGAGGGGAGAGGAGGGGGAUACUAUGUCGUCGCCUUCCCUCGGUUUGUUUUUUUGGGGGGUGGGGGAGGGGGGUCGGUGAGAGUCUGGAUUUUUCUUCUUCGCAGACCAGCGGUCGGUAGGGAUGUUGUUAUUAAUGUUUUGGUUUUUUUAAAGGGAGUAUUUUUUUUUUUUUGUUUUAGGAACAACUCCCCCCCUCACUUGCUCCAGCAGCAGC